rnacentral:rRNA from 1 species
UACGUAGGUGGCAAGCGUUGUCCGGAUUUACUGGGCGUAAAGAGCGCGCAGGCGGUCGAGUAAGUCGAAUGUGAAAGCCCCCGGCUUAACUGGGGAGGGUCAUUCGAUACUGAUCGACUCGAAGGCAGGAGAGGGUAGUGGAAUUCCAGGUGUAGCGGUGAAAUGCGUAGAUAUCUGGAGGAACACCGGUGGCGAAGGCGGCAUCCUGGACCGGCAUUGACGCUGAGGCGCGAAAGCUAGGGGAGCAAACGGG